rnacentral:rRNA from 1 species
UACGUAGGUGGCGAGCGUUGUCCGGAUUUACUGGGCGUAAAGAGCGCGCAGGCGGUCAAGUCAGUCGAAUGUGAAAGCCCCCGGCUCAACUGGGGAGGGUCAUUCGAUACUGCUCGACUUGAAGGCAGGAGAGGGAAGCGGAAUUCCCGGUGUAGUGGUGAAAUGCGUAGAUAUCGGGAGGAACACCAAUGGCGAAGGCAGCUCGCUGGGACGGUACUGACGCUGAGGCGCGAAAGCGUGGGGAGCAAACAGG